CCUACGGGAGGCAGCAGUGAGGAAUAUUGGUCAAUGGACGAGAGCCUGAACCAGCCAAGUCGCGUGAAGGAUGACUGCCCUAUGGGUUGUAAACUUCUUUUAUAUGGGAAUAAAGUGAAGCAUGUAUGCUGCUUUGCAUGUACUUUAUGAAUAAGGAUCGGCUAACUCCGUGCCAGCAGCCGCGGUAAUACGGAGGAUCCGAGCGUUAGCCGGAUUUAUUGGGUUGAAAGGGAGCGUAGUCGGGUUGUUAAGUCAGGUGUGAAAUGUUGCGGCUCAACCGUAAAAUUGCAAUUGAUACUGGCAGUCUUGAGUACAGUAGAGGUAAGCGGAAUUCGGGGUGUAGCGGUGAAAUGCGUAGAUAUCACGAGGAACACCAGUGGCGAAGGCGGCUUACUAAACUGUAACUGACGCUGAGGAGCGAAAGUGUGGGUAGCAAACAGGAUUAGAUACCCUGGUAGUC
rnacentral:rRNA from 1 species